GAUGAACGCUGGCGGCGUGCCUAAUACAUGCAAGUCGAGCGAACGGACGAGAAGCUUGCUUCUCUGAUGUUAGCGGCGGACGGGUGAGUAACACGUGGAUAACCUACCUAUAAGACUGGGAUAACUUCGGGAAACCGGGGCUAAUACCGGAUGAUAUUUUGAACCGCAUGGUUCAAAUGUGAAAGACGGUCUUGCUGUCACUUAUAGAUGGAUCCGCGCUGCAUUAGCUAGUUGGUAAGGUAACGGCUUACCAAGGCAACGAUGCAUAGCCGACCUGAGGGGGUGAUCGGCCACACUGGAACUGAGACACGGUCCAGACUCCUACGGGAGGCAGCAGUAGGGAAUCUUCCGCAAAGGGCGAAAGCCUGACGGAGCAACGCCGCGUGAGUGAUGAAGGUCUUCGGAUCGUAAAACUCUGUUAUUAGGGAAGAACAUAUGUGUAAGUAACUGUGCACAUCUUGACGGUACCUAAUCAGAAAGCCACGGCUAACUACGUG
rnacentral:rRNA from 1 species